rnacentral:rRNA from 1 species
AACGAACGCUGGCGGCAGGCCUAACACAUGCAAGUCGAACGCCGUAGCAAUACGGAGUGGCAGACGGGUGAGUAACGCGUGGGAACAUACCCUUCGGUUCGGAAUAACUCAGGGAAACUUGAGCUAAUACCGGAUACGUCCGAGGUCAAACUUGGAGAAAGAUUUAUCGCCGGAGGAUUGGCCCGCGUCUGAUUAGCUUGUUGGUGAGGUAAUGGCUCACCAAGGCGACGAUCAGUAGCUGGUCUGAGAGGAUGAUCAGCCACAUUGGGGACUGAGACACGGCCCAAACUCCUACGGGAGGCAGCAGUGGGGAAUAUUGGACAAUGGGCAAAAGCCUGAUCCAGCCAUGCCGCGUGAGUGAUGAAGGCCCUAGGGUUGUAAAGCUCUUUUCAGUAGGGAAGAAAAGCCGAGUGCUAAUAUCACUCGGUCUUGACGUUACUUACAGAAGAAGCACCGGCUAACUCCGUGCCAGCAGCCGCAGUAAU